GAUACACUGAAUUUGAAUCUGAAAAAUUCUUGUACAUCAGAGCAGACUUUGUCCAAAGACCCUUAACAUGAAGCCAGAAGACAGAAGAAUCAGGUCAAACUAAAAAUACAAGAAGUCCAGCAGCAGCAAACAGAAACUAAGAGGAGAGGAUUCAGAACCAGGUGACAGACUUCUGAGAAAUCCAACCUGGCUGUAUAUCUGAGAUACUGCCACUGCAUCAGCACCACAAGAUAAAGACUCCAGUGUCACCUUGCUCAUGUCCUCGUUAGUGUCACCCAAGACAGUGAACUCUGAUAGGGUAACAGAAGAGUUGUGCUGGGGAUUAUGCCUCAUCCCGCUGACAAAGAUCCUGAACGGAAUCAUCAGGAAUGGCACAGUGCAGGUGGCAAAAUCAAAGUAAGGCCGCGGAUUUUUGAGAGGACCCUCCAAAUACUGAGAACU